rnacentral:rRNA from 1 species
GACGAACGCUGGCGGCGUGCUUAACACAUACAAGUCGAACGGUGAAGCGCUUUCCUUUUUGGUUGGUGUGGAUGAGUGGCGAACGGGUGAGUAACACGUGAGUAACCUGCCCCCUUCUUCUGGAUAACCGCAUGAAAGUGUGGCUAAUACGGGAUAUUCUGCGCCUGCUGCAUGGUGGGUGUGGGAAAGAUUGUGCCUUUGGGUGUUUUCGGUGGGGGAUGGGCUCGCGGCCUAUCAGCUUGUUGGUGGGGUGAUGGCCUACCAAGGCGGUGACGGGUAGCCGGCCUGAGAGGGUGGACGGUCACACUGGGACUGAGACACGGCCCAGACUCCUACGGGAGGCAGCAGUGGGGAAUAUUGCACAAUGGGCGCAAGCCUGAUGCAGCGACGCCGCGUGAGGGAUGGAGGCCUUCGGGUUGUGAACCUCUUUCGCCAGUGAAGCAGGCCUGCUCCUUGUGGGUGGGUUGACGGUAGCUGGAGAAGAAGCGCCGGCUAACUACGUG